CAGACUUGCACUCUUUGGUUUCCGGCUCAGUUCCGGCGACUACGCGCGGUCGGUUUACAGGAGACUAGCGCUGCACGUGGAGAGGUGCUUGGCUCUCGCGACUUCGCCCACCCGACCCGCAUGUUCGAAGAGCCGGAGUGGGCCGAGGAGGCCCCAGUAGCCACGGGCCUCGAACCUGUAGCUGCACGACCUCGGCCUGCCGCAGCCUCGCAAAUCAAGGGCUCCAAGCACCGUCAGCUCUUGGCCACGUUACGGGCCCUGGAGGCAGCAGCUCUUCCCCAGCAAUCUCCUAGCCUGCCUGGCAGUGACUCUGAGGAGGAGGUAGUGGAAAGGAAGAAGAAACACUCAAAAAAGUCCUCAUUUUCCAAUGUUUCUAUUGAAGUAGAGAAGAAGAGGAAGAAGAAAUGUCAGAAACAGGGCCCACCUGGCAGUGACUCUGAAGAAAAGGAAGUAGAAAGGAAGAAAAAGUGCCUCAAAGGGGUUUUUAAUGCCAGUGACUCUGCUGAAGAAGAGAAAAGGAAGAGGAAACAGCAGAAACAGGUCCGCUCAAACCCUGCCCAGCACCUGGACAAUGAUGACCAAACAGGUCCCAAAGCUUGGAAGAGUAGAGAUACAAAUGACCUAUCCCAGCCAAGCGCUGGGACCACUUCUGCCAACCCCCCCCACAUCUUGAGUCGCAAGCAGUGGCGGAACCGGCAAAAGAAUAAACGUAGGCAUAAGAAUAAGUUUCGGCCACCUCAGCCACCAGACCAGGCUCCAGCCACAGUCUCCACAGAGGAGACAGAGAUGCCUCCUGACCCCAGUCCACACAGCCAUGAGGAUCGGGCGGGGGCUCUGCGAGCCCGCAUGGCACAACGGCUGGAUGGUGCUCGAUUUCGUUACCUCAACGAACAGCUAUACUCAGGGCCUAGCAGUGCUGCACAGCGUCUCUUCCAGGAAGACCCUGAGGCCUUUCUCCUCUACCAUCGUGGCUUCCAGAGCCAAGUCAAGAAGUGGCCACUGCAGCCAGUGGACCGCAUUGCCAGAGAUCUUCGCCAGCGGCCUGCGUCCCUGGUGGUAGCUGACUUCGGCUGCGGGGACUGCCGCCUGGCUUCAAGUAUCCGGAACCCUGUACACUGCUUUGACUUGGCCUCUCUGGACCCCAGGGUCACUGUGUGUGACAUGGCCCAGGUGCCUCUGGAGGAUGAGUCUGUGGAUGUGGCUGUGUUCUGCCUUUCACUGAUGGGAACCAACAUCAGGGACUUCCUAGAGGAGGCAAAUAGAGUGCUGAAGCCAGGGGGUCUUCUGAAAGUGGCUGAAGUCAGUAGCCGUUUUGAAGAUGUUCGGACUUUUCUGGGGGCUGUGACCAAACUGGGCUUCAAAGUCAUCUCCAAGGAUCUUACCAACAGCCACUUCUUCCUGUUUGACUUUGAAAAGACUGGGCCUCCUCGGGUCGGUCCCAAGGCUCAACUCACAGGCCUGAAACUUCAGCCAUGUCUCUACAAGCGCAGGUGACCUCUGGGCCCCCCUUGAAAGGGAGGCAAGUCUCGAACUCCAGGCUCAGAACUCUGAAGACUGUAUCCAGCCGGGCUCUGACCCAAGAACGGGGUCAGAAAGAGGAUGUGUGGGAAGAGACCAUGCAGGAUUGCUGUGUAGAGAGCUUAUUGUGAGACAGCACAGCUGGACUGUCAGGACCCGCCCCCUCACCUCAGCUCUGACUGUGGACUCCACUGGGACCAUUCAGGAAGCUUGAGCUAUUAGGUAGAGAGGAGGUGAGAAGAGCCGAGAGCACACGGAUUAUUCUCCUCCUCCCCAACUCAGCCUCCUUGAGACAUAGUAAGUGGGGCAGAGCUGGGAGGGGAAGACAACCGUCUUCCAGUGGGUGCACAUUAUUUAUUGUUACCUAGGGUUAGAUAUCCUAAUUGCUUGAGAUGAAGAGGAGGUGAGAAGAGCAGAGAGCACACAGAUUAUUCCUAUUAUUCCUCUUCUCCCCAGCUCAGGCUCAUUGAGACAUAGUAAAUGGGGCAGAGCUGGGAGGGGAAGGUGGUUAAAGCUCCAAGUGGGUGCACAUUAUUUAUAGUUACCUAGGGUUAGAUAUUCUAAUUGCUUGAGAUCGCGUAAGACCGUUAACUAAGAAUAAGCUGAAAAGUCACGGGCUUGCUGCAGCUUACCUCCACAGCAGGGAAAGAGUGUCCCCAAAUGAAAAUGCUUUGGAGGGGUGGUGAGAGACAAGAAUAAGCUUGGGUUUGGAUGGCAGUCUGUGCCUUGUGCUUGUUCAGCAUGCCUUUGAGAGGUUUCUUGCUGCUGCAGUUUUUGGUGUGCUCCAGCUCUUGUUCCUGUAACACAGUCCUACGGAACAUGGUUCCAAAGGAAACAACAUGAUCUUGGCAGAGACACAGCUUAGCUCCAAACACUCAGCCAUUUACAUAAAUGCACAGAGCCCUUUACAGCUUUUCACAGAGACCCACAAUAGUGUUUUUUUUAUCCCCAGGUGGUCCUCCUUCCUAGAUGACUUCUCAGACUGGCCACCUGUUUCUAGGAUAUUCAACUACUGUAGCAAUUGCCUUAUUGGUCUAAUUCCAUCACUCCUGCCCCCAAAGCAAUUUGUUUCCCACACAGCCAAGUGAUGUUUUUAAAAUGUAAAUCAGAUAUUGUCAUUUCUCUGCUUAAAAUCCUUCAAUGGGUUCUCAGUGCCCUGAGAACAAAAGACAGACUCGCUCCCAGGCCCUGUGUGAUCUUGCUCAGGCCUUGCUCUCCAACUGCAUCUUAACCCACUCCUUCCUCACAAGACUCCAGCCAUGCAAGCUUUCUUUUCAUUCCUCUAGCAUUCCAAGCCAUUCCAGCUGGGUCUUUACACAUGCUGCUCUAUCUUUUUACAGUACUUUUUGUGAUGAGCUCAUUUUCAUCUUCCAGAUCUUCACACCAAAUCCCCGUUUCUUCUUUGGAAGAAACUGGCUAGAUGCUCACCAAAAUGUCCUUUUUAUGGACACAUAGUUAACUAUGUUUCCCAGCUCCUUGCAUCAAGGCGGGGCUAUUGUCUUCGCCAAUGGAAAGUAAGUAGGAGUAAUGCUUUACUACCAGACCAAGGCAAUUAAAGAGUGGAUGAGCCUUCUCCACAUUCUCCCAUCCCCUCUUCUGCCUUCCUGGGUGAGCUUGAAGCAUAUGUUUUAAAGACUGUGGAGUCAAUUGCUUGGAGGAAAUCUGCUUGACCAAGAACAUCCACAUUGGAUUUUCAACAAAAAUAAACCUCUAUUGCAUUAAGUUACUGAGCUUUGGGAAGGUUACAGAAGUUAGUAUUAUAUACUCUGGCUAAUAUAUCUUUUCUGGGCAUCCUGUCCACCUUGCUCUUGACCACAAAACCUUUUUUUGUUUCCCUCAGGGUGCUUCAAACAUGUAAUUAUCUUACCAGAUGCCAGUCAACACUCCUACCUAUCCUAUAACUUUGAAUCUUAAUUGAGAAAAAAACGUCCACGUGAGGAAGUUGAGAUACUCAUUUUAUCAGUUGCAUUUUGAUUGUGACCA